CUUGUGAUAUUUCUAGAUACACUCGACAUAAUAACUCAUGAUAUAAUGACAACAUGCAUUAUAAUGCAUAACAUGAUAAUUGAAGACGAGCGGGACAUCAACGCACCGAUUAGAGAUGCAAGAGCGGUGCCAGUGCUACAAGUUGAAACAGCAACUAACGAAAAUACUCGGUUUCAAUAAUUUUUGGCUCGUAAUCUACAAAUAAAAAAAAAUAAAAAAGCUCAUUUAUCGCUUCAAAAUGCACUAAUUGAUCUUAUAUGAGAGCAUUAUGGGAAUAAUAAUAAUGAAUAAUGUAUUUUUAAGUCUUUUAUUUAUAUGUAAUAUAUGCUAUUAGAAUGUAAUAGUUUAUUAAUAGCUAUUGUUUAUAGUAUUUUUGAUGUAUGAUUUUAGCUGUUAUAAAAGUUUUAUGCUUUUAUUUGAUUCUUGUCUAAAGUAAGGACUAUAAUGUAAAAAUAUAAACAAAUUGAGGUUUUUUUUAAGGUUUACCAUUGGAGAAGGUCACCCCAAACCUCAAAUAUAAGGUUUAGCAAACCUCAAAUAUAAGGUUGUUCUUGCAGAUGUUCUAAUAAUAUAUAUUUUUUGGAUCAAGAACACAUUCAUCAAAUAUUAACAAGAUUUUUUUUGGGCAAUUCUCCUUAAUAGCCCCUUUUAACUUUGUAUCUCUAAAUCAGACUCUCAAACUGAAAAUAACCUAAAUAACCUUCAUCAAGUGUCAAAAGUCUACAAUGCCCUUCUUUUAAUUGUAAUUAGAUGAAACAAUUAAUAAAUUGCAACCACGAAAAAUAAACGACGACGAAGGACUCUUGAAGUCAUCUUCGACGACGAGCUCCGGCGACAAAGGAAACAAUGAUUCUCAUUGUCGACGAAGCAAGCUGUGUGAAUCUGUAUGUUUCAAUAGUUUUACGAAGAAAAUCUUAAUUUUAUUUAGGGUUUUCAAAUUGAGAUUUGAAUUUUUGUGUUCUUCUUCUUCCGAUGAUACGUUUGAACUUGUUUUGUUGUUUGAAUAGAACAUGGAUAGCAGAAUCGGAGUUACAAAUAAUGAAUUUCAGGAAACUUCGUUUACAUAUAACUUUGGCUUAAAGAGGAAGAUGAUCUCGUGACUUUACUUUUUGGUAAGCAAUUUUUGAAUCUUUGAUAUUCCUAUUUAUUCUUUGAUAAAAGAACCCUGUGUAAAGAGAGCUUUGAUUGUUGGAGUUGGUCUCUUUGUUGUGUUUCCCUUUUUCACCUGAAUGGUAAUGUAACAGUGUCAAAGUGCGAUUGCAGGUCUCUGAUGCUUUGUAGAACUCAAUUUUGAAACCGCCUCCUUCAUACGUACAGCCAGCCUUCUCUAGAAGACCGUAAGAUAUUAUGUUCCUGCUAAUAUUCGGCAUGUGUCUCACAUCAGUUAAAAUCACUUCAACACCAUCCACAUUAGUAACUCGAAUCUUUCCAAUUCCUUUAACUUCGCUCUGUGUGUUGUUCGCCAUAAAAACUUUCCACCUUCUAGUUCCUUGAAGUCAAAGAGAACAUUCCUUUGAGGAGUGAUAUGAAACGAGCAGCCAUAGUCUAGAACCCACUCCUACUUAGUGUCCUGAACACUUACAGUCAGUACAAGCGGCUGCUUUGGUUAAGAAGCUAUAUUCAUUAAGCUUGAAGACUCAUUCUUCCUUCCCUGAUUAUUCCAAUUCUGUGGGCAUUCUCUCUUCCAAUGACCAUCCUUUCCGCAAAUAAAACACCCUGUUUUGUUGGUAUUUCGGUUUGAUCUUGGUCUAGACUUUGAUCUUCCAUCCCGUGACUUUGAUCUGCUUUUUCCAUACUUUCCAUUUCCUUUAUUUCCCUUCUCCUUCUGUCUACGUUGAGAUUCCACAUACAAGCCUUUUAAGUUCGAUCUAGACUUUCCAAAGAGACCCCUUUGUUUUGUGUUGUUCAAAAUCUUUAAAAUUCAAAUUGUAGUGGGAUUCUAAGAUUUUCAGUUAUAAUAUUACUAGAUACUAGUUGGUAUAAAUAAAUUACACAUUUAUAUUUUAUCGCAUAAAAACAUGAAAACACCUAUGUAUAUAUAAAAUUAUAUACCAAAAUAUAUAGAGAUUUAUCUCAUUUUUUUUAAACAUGUAUAAUGUAAAAUAUUGUUUUUGGAUAACACAAUGUAAACUAGUUUUAUAAAAUGAUAAUUAUCAAAUCAAUAAAAUUCAUUCUUAAUUUGUGGUUAUGUAUAUAUUAAAAACCGAAUUAUUCAUUAUAUUUAAUAAAGACCUUAUAGCACAAUAUAAAUUAUUUUUUGAUAAUGAUAAUUAUCAAAUUAAUGAAAUUCAUUUUUAAUUUGUGGUUAAUCAUAUAUUAACAAAUCAAAUUAUUCAUUAAGAGUAAUAAAAAUUUUAGCCGCUCUAACUUUUAAUGUUAGAACUAAUAAUCAUUUUGCAAAUAAUAAUAUAGAAUAAAAUUAUUAAAUAGAAGGUUUAAUUAUUAUAAAUAGCUAUAAACUUGUAUCAUGGUAAAAUAAAAAUUGUCUUCUUAUUUGAUUGCAGGUUAUCCAAGUAGGGAAGGGCUUGGAUUUGAUCCAUCCUAACACAAACUUAAUCUGCUAAUUCUGUAAUAAUAAUAAUACAACAAGAUUUGUUCUACUAAUCUUUUUACAGAGUGAAAUUUUUUAUUCUUUUGAAUCAAACAAAAGACACCAGAAGAAUUAGCCUUAUCUCCAAAGACUCUAAUUACUCAGUUCCGUUCGUUCACCAUUUGUUUUGACAAUAUACAGAAGUAAGAUCAUCUCUCUGGCUCGAUUUUCAUCUGAACCGUAGAUUCAGAACCUGACACAUACAACCAAAUAACAAUGUAAUUAGAUAUCACACAACAAAACUUCACACUGUUUAUAUUCUGCAAUGUAAAUUUCUGUUUAUAUUUUUGCUUACAGUUGAUGCUCUGUUGCGGACAAUCACUGAAACCCAUAUGAACAAUACUCUGCAGAUCGUUUUCCCAGAAAGCUGGCGCCUAAGAAAACACACAAAAGUAAGCUUUUCAGAGGAAGCAAUACAGUGAGACUGUAUACAAUAUAAGCGGACAUUAAAGUACCUCAGCUUGAACAAAUCCUUCACUAAGAAUGUUCUUGCCAACAGCUAAAUACUCUGAAGGAAAUCUUGACUCUGAACAAGAUAAUGAUUCUCCCAGCUGCAACAUCUAAGACAUACAUAAUCUACUCGUCAGAUACAAUUACAGAACAUUCUCCCAGUCUUUGUUAUGAAUGAAUCAACAUAAAGCAGAAGAAUACCUCUGCAGAUAACAUAGCAUUAGCAGCAUUGAACUCCGUUCUUGGAUUUAUAGUUGCUAACUUCAUAGACAAGAACUGGAGAAGUAAACAAGAGAUUCAGAUUCAGUUAUAAUAAACACACAGCUCCAUGUUUAAGAAACAUAUAAAGCGACAGUAUACCUGGACUUGUCUUUGCAAUGACUGCACAUAAUUGAUAAUCUCAUCAAGCAUGACAGCUUUUCCAGUAAUCCGGUUGCAACCAGGGACCAAAUCUUGAAGCAACUUCAUUCUCGCACUNNNNNNNNNNNNNNNNNNNNNNNNNNNNNNNNNNNNNNNNNNNNNNNNNNNNNNNNNNNNNNNNNNNNNNNNNNNNNNNNNNNNNNNNNNNNNNNNNNNNNNNNNNNNNNNNNNNNNNNNNNNNNNNNNNGAAGCCCUAGAAAAUCGGCGACCGACUCGAACAUGACACCACACGUUGAACAGAUAGCAUGGUAGGGACACGCGCCCACUAACGAAGCCGCCACCUAACUUCAGCCAGAAAGUCAUCGACGGAGCUCCAACCGGCUGUUCCACCGGAAACACACCGGAAACAGGAACCCGAAGUUAGAGAUCUAUCGAAGACUAUGGAUAAUUGCUUUCCACCACCGACAUGGUCUACGCCGGAGGAUCAAAGAGAUACACCGGAAGCCAAGAGGCUGAGGAAGCCCGCUAAAGACAGUAGAACACAGUCGAUAACCAUACAACUUGGCUCUUCGCUUUAUAGACGAUUCAUUUGCAUGCGUUCCAAAACAGGAAACAGAGAUGAAUCGAAGAAGCUUGAAGGAAAGAUCAGACGAAAGCCAGAAUAAACCAGAGAGAAGCCGCACGACGCCACCGGAGAAGACACCGUCAUCAACGUCGCCGGAACCAGAAGCCAAUGAAUCAUUUAGAAGAAAGUGAUUCAUUGGAGCCAAAAGCCGACGGUUUCGUCAGAGAAGAACGACCACCGUCGAACCCAAAAGCCGGCCAGUCGAUGUUGAAGAAACCAUCGCUGCCGGAACCGACUCCUAUAGGAGCCAACACGCCGGAAACCACCGGCGAUCUAUAUCCUCUCUCUCUGAAAGAUUUUUUAGAGAGAAGAGAGAGAGUUUUUUAUGAUUGUGUUUUUUCCAAUGUGUGAUUUUCAUUCACUCCUCGUUAGCCUUUUAUGAAAAUAUUGUAAUACUGUGAAAUUAUAUCUAAAACUCGUGACACCGGUUUAUAGGUUAGAUGUAUUUUAUCUUAUCCAGCGACAUAAACAGGAUAUCUUGACAUGAUGAGAUAAGAAAAUGUACUGGUCCUUGUAAAUUUGGACCGCAUGUCGGCCAAAAAAUCGUUUUGACUGAUAUAUUAAGCUCAACUUUUUUUGUACCCGCAAAUUUAAAACGCUCAAAUAUUUGUUAUAACGCCAUCAAAACAGUGAUCAUUAUUCAAAAUUUAACUUAUAUGUGAUAUUUCCACUCGACUCAAUUAAAAUAGAAAUAAGCCAAGCUAAAAAAACAAAUGGUGACAUCAGAAGAAGGAAAAUCAAAAUGAUGAAUAAAGGGUGGUCAUGAUCCUAUGAGUCCCAUUAAUAUUUAUAUAUAUACACAGUGGUCAUGCACUCUUGAUAUUUGUUGCUUCUACAGUUUACUAUUUAUUUUUCACAUACAGCAAGAGUAAAAUUUUAAACGUGUCAAAAUAAAUCGUUGAGGUAGCACUCAGCAGAUCUAAUAAGUGGAUUGCCUCGAAUCAUAUUAACCCUGGGUUACUCUCGAGUACUGACAAGUAGAUAACGCCAAAGAAAAUGAUGUAAAAGGCCAAUAAUGGACUGUAAUAAAGGUGUGGUUCAGUACUCAUCGUGAAGGCGUAUCUAAUAUCUUCUUUCCCCAGCUACACGACUAAUUUACUCAAGUGCACCGUAUUUUUCUUGUACACGUAAACUAUUUAUAAGUCUACAUAGUUGUACAAUUGUAUAGUAUUUUAUACACUGUGCGUAGGUAAAUACGUAUGGCUCGUGUGGUGGUCCCCGCAGAAACCAAAGGUAGAGCCGUGUGGAGGGACCUCCCCCAAGUAAAACGAUAACCACACGGUAUCAGAUCCCUUGUCACUUUCUUGAAUUUAGUGGCGCCCUUUAACUCUAAAGGAACCUCCCCUAAAUAGAUACAGAACUAAUAUUCAUUUGUUUUUAAUAAAAAGUUGAUUUAAUCUUUUUGAUUGUGUUUCAAAAAAAAAAAAAAAAUCUUUUUGAUUAUUGACUAGGCUUCGAAACGCGUAAUGACUUCUUCUUCUAGUACAGCCAAACAAGUAUGGUGUCUAUGUAUUUGCUGCGUAUAAGAUCGUAAAGCCCGUCUUUGGGUCAAGUCGAUGGAACCUAUACUUUAAGUGAAUAUUUUCUUUAAACUUUUCUUGACAGAAUUUCAGAUUUGAAGAUUCAAAUUAUCAUGUUUAUAAUAUUUCCAUUUUAACGAAGCGGCCAUUCUUUCUUUAGCCUUUGAAAUUUCGGAACCAAUACAAACCAUGACCCAUGAUGUCAUUAUACUUUUACCAAAAAAAUGAUGUCAUUAUACUGAAAAAUAGCUAAAGCUUUUAAUAGUGAUAUUAAACUUAGUUGUUGGCUGCUGAUCCAUAAGAAAUUGUUGGCAUAUGAUUUGCUUAAAGAAAAACCAGUGAAUAAUAUACGAAUUCGUUCAUUUUAAUUCAUCUGUACUUAACACUAUUAUAUAGAAAGGUAAGGGUGGACGAGACUGAUGCUGGUUAAAUAACAUAAUGAUAUAUAAUUUUUUUGCAAUUUUUUAAAUAGAAGUUUUAGUUUUUAUCCAUUUCUUAUACUUUUUUUUCGUCAACACAAUUCUAUUGAUUUAUACAAGGAGUUCAUGAUCUUUUUAUUUUUGAACAGAGGAGGAGUUCAUGAUCUAAACUCUGGUUUUUGACUAUAUACAAGUUGAAUGAAUGUAUGUAUCAAAAUCAGAUAAGCUACAUCCACUUUUUAAAACAACUAGUUGAUGUAAUUUAUAGCCACCUUUUAAUACUAGUUUUUGAGCUAGCUGUAUUUUAUACUAAGUUCCUUGCAUUUGAAUUUAGAAUGGGCUUUUGCAUUAAAACUAUACUCGAUUUGUAUUCAUAAACUUCAAAAAAAGUUUUAAUAGCUAUGACUUUUGAGUCUACGACAGCUCGAACAUAGAAAAUUAAAAAACUAUGAAAUGUACCUAUCCAAUUUAAUUUAUUUUUCAAGAUUCAUAUAUGUAUAUAUUUACAUAUUUAAUUGUAUUACAUUGUCUAUACUCAUUAAAACUUUACGCAAAUGCGCAUGGACGAGCAUGUCUCUCCGCAUGGCGUAAGAUUUAAGUUUAAAACUUCUAUAAAAUAACAGACUAAUAACAAAAUUAUCGGCUAAGCAUCACUUAAAUUUAAUACACGUUAUGGAGACUACCACGUCACAUUUGAGCACCUUCCAGGCUGUCAAAGACUCCUAUCACCCAUUCAAAUCAUUCCACGUGGCACUUUCGGACAGUGACACCUAUGCUACAACAGCUGUCUCACUCGUCUACAUUGGUAUAAAUACCUCUUGUAUCACACUUCAUUCUAUAAACCUCAAACAAAACCUCUGUUCUAACUCUUACAAUAACCAACUUCUCAAAUGGCUUAUAAUUACCGUUUUGCCUUUUUCCUCACCGUCCUCACCGCCCUCGCCGGGAUCUCCUCCGCCGCGUUGGUCAAGGAGCAGCCGCUUGUUCUGAAAUACCACAACGGCGCACUCUUGAAAGGAAACAUCAACGUCAAUCUCGUUUGGUAUGGGAAGUUCACACCCACCCAACGGUCAGUGAUCGUCGACUUCAUCCGCUCGCUCAACUCCAAAGAAGCCACAACCUCCGCCGCUCCCUCCGUCGCGUCGUGGUGGAAGACGACGGAGAAAUACAAAGGCGGAGCUUCGACUCUCGUCGUCGGGAAACAGCUCCUCCUCGAGAACUACCCCCUCGGAAAAUCUCUCAAGAAUCCCAACCUCCGUGCUUUAUCCACCAAACUUAACGGCGGUCUCCGUUCUAUAACCGUCGUUUUAACGGCGAAAGACGUUUCCGUCGAGGGCUUCUGUAUGAACCGGUGCGGGUCCCACGGAUCGUCCGUCUCGACUUCGCGCCGCGCGGCUAACGGCGAGGCUUACGUCUGGGUCGGAAACGCCGAGACGAUGUGCCCGGGGUACUGCGCGUGGCCAUUUCACCAGCCCAUUUACGGCCCACAAGGGCCGCCGUUAGUUUCCCCUAACGGUGACGUUGGAGUCGACGGGAUGAUUAUAAACCUGGCUACGCUGCUAGCUAACACCGUCACGAAUCCGUUUAAGAACGGGUAUUACCAGGGCCCACCAACUGCUCCACUUGAAGCUGUCUCCGCUUGUACCGGCAUGUUCGGGUCUGGUUCUUACCCGGGUUACGCGGGUCUAGUGCUGGUUGACAAAACUACCGGGUCUAGCUACAACGCUCGUGGACUCGCCGGGAGGAAAUAUCUCUUGCCGGCGAUGUGGGAUCCACAGACCUCGACUUGCAAGACUCUGGUUUGAUCCAAGGGAUGUGAGUAUGACACGUGUCAUGUUCUGGAAGGAAUGAGGAGAUCUAGAUGACAUCUAUAGUCAAAACAAGUUGUAACUCGCGCUUGUAUAAUAUAUAUGCUUUCGGGUUUGGACUGUGGAUAAGAGUCUUUGCUUUUGUCGUUUUGUUAUGACGUGUAAAUUAUGUUUCUUGAAUGUGAAGAUAUAUGAAUAGUAUAAAAUAAAAUGAUUGUGUUUCUGUUGACAAAAAAAAUGAUUUUGUUUCUACUGCUUUUUAUAAAAGUUAAUGCACUUAUUAAAGAUAAUGAACUAUAAUGAUUGAGGCUUAUAAUACAAAUUUUAUACAUUUAAAGGAAUCUAGCUUUUAUAUUAGUGGGUAGUAUAAGAUAAUCAUAGUUUUAUUGUUUAUAUUAAAUUCGAUGAUAAAAGUAGAUAACACUACAAAGAAAGAUGAGUAUAAAAUAUAAGUUGCUCUCGGUGAUGUUGGGGCCAAAGAGACCAAAUCGAUUGCUUAAUAAAAUACUCGUUUCUUCCUACUUUUUUUUUCAUGUCAGCCAUAGUGUGCUUAAAAUACUUCCUCGUAAUUGUGUUCCCUCAUUAUUUGUAUGACUAUGAUUAAAACUAAGUUAACAAAGAUAAGGUCUGUAAUAACACCAGAAUUCAUUGUGUCAGAGGUUCUGUGGAACAAAAUUAUUUAUAUUAUAUGAUGUAGUUUAGGAUACGGAGAAAUUGAGAAGCUUUUAAAAAUGAUAUAAGAACAUAAUUAUAUAUGUUAUAAAGGAAAAAGAAAUUAUCAUCUCGACUUCGCGCCGCGCGGCUAACGGCGAGGCUUACGUCUGGGUCGGAAACGCCGAGACGAUGUGCCCGGGGUACUGCGCGUGGCCAUUUCACCAGCCCAUUUACGGCCCACAAGGGCCGCCGUUAGUUUCCCCUAACGGUGACGUUGGAGUCGACGGGAUGAUUAUAAACCUGGCUACGCUGCUAGCUAACACCGUCACGAAUCCGUUUAAGAACGGGUAUUACCAGGGCCCACCAACUGCUCCACUUGAAGCUGUCUCCGCUUGUACCGGCAUGUUCGGGUCUGGUUCUUACCCGGGUUACGCGGGUCUAGUGCUGGU
rnacentral:lncRNA from 1 species